AGUGAACGAGGGAGGGAGGAAGAACAAAGGCAAGUCGAACGGCAGCACAGUAAGAGCUUGCUCUUACGGGUGGCGAGUGGCGGACGGGUGAGGAAUACAUCGGAAUCUACUUUUUCGUGGGGGAUAACGUAGGGAAACUUACGCUAAUACCGCAUACGACCUACGGGUGAAAGCAGGGGAUCUUCGGACCUUGCGCGAUUGAAUGAGCCGAUGUCGGAUUAGCUAGUUGGCGGGGUAAAGGCCCACCAAGGCGACGAUCCGUAGCUGGUCUGAGAGGAUGAACAGCCACACUGGAACUGAGACACGGUCCAGACUCCUACGGGAGGCAGCAGUGGGGAAUAUUGGACAAUGGGCGCAAGCCUGAUCCAGCCAUACCGCGUGGGUGAAGAAGGCCUUCGGGUUGUAAAGCCCUGUGGUUGGGAAAGAAAAGCAGCAGGUUAAUACCCCGCUGUUCUGACGGUACCCAAAGAAUAAGCACCGGCUACCUUCGUG
rnacentral:rRNA from 1 species